CUUAUUUGUCUGUCCAGUGUGUGGAGAGGUCCCUGGGCUGCAGGAGGGGGCUGGUGCUUCCCUCCACAGCAGCGGCAGCCCCCACCAGGCAGCACCCGCCUGCUGGCACCUGGCUCAGGCAGUCCCAGGGGGCACUGCAGCCGCAGAGGAAGCACUGGGCCCCUGUGCAGCUCAGGCAGGCAGGUAGGCUCCAGGGGAAAAAAAAAUGCAGGUUCUCCGCUUUUCUUGGGCAGAGCCUGCUUUCUUGGGCUGCUGCCAGGCUGCCUGCAUGGGCUUCCUGCAGAGCCCCUGAGCUGCAUGGAGCCUAGUACUUUGCUCUGCAGCUGUAGGGCAGUAAACUAAAACUCCUCAGAGGAGUUUUAGUUUGCUGUGCCCUGAGUUAUUUAAGGCUCAUUAUGCUGCUGAAUUAGGUACAGCGGCUGGAAUUACUGUGCAAUACGCUGCUGACGCAUGCAGACACCAACAUCAUUAAAGCGGUGCAAAAGCAUUUAACUUGCUUUAAAGUGUCGUGCACAUAUGCCCCUCAUUUCAUCUAUACAUGGCCUUAAAGACCAGUUGUUUGAAGACUGUGAAGUGUAUGUUAACAAAGCACUAGGAUAGGGCAGCCAGGCUAGCAUAAACUGCAAAAUUCUGCAGCUUUGUAUUAGCCUAUGUAUGAAAAAUGAAUUAAAUAUGAUUAUUGCAUUAGGGGAACAAUGCAAUGUCUGUAUUAAAUCCAAGGAUAUUUAGAGUGAGGCAUAUUACUGUAAGGGCUUUGUAAAAAGUUAAUAAAUUUAAGAGUGUGUUGAAUGAGAUAACCAACCCAACAAAUCAGUACUUCAUAGUAGGAGUCACAAAGUCAUACAUCACAAAGAAAAGAGUUGCCUGUAAGAAAUCUAGAAAGGUUAAGUUAGAUUAUCUCACGUGCAGAAAACUAGAGGAUGUAAGUCUACAUGAGUGGCUGACUGCUUAACCAAGUGCUAAAUGAUUGUGUAGUAACUGGCGUUACUGCACUGUCUCAUCACCGCAGUUAUUUUUAGAUGCUAUUGCAUAGUAGGAACAAGCUAUUGUGCAGUAGCUUAUUACAACUGUGCAGUAGCGUCACUGUUGCAGUUCACGCCUGGUGACAUUACAGCAUUGUAGCAAUGAGCUACGACGCAGUAGCAUCUCAUGCAGAUGUACCUAAUGGUAGCUAAAAAUAAUGCAACAAUUGAAAUUGACUUUGCUGUGAUUUUAUUAAAAAAAAAAAGAAGAGGUAACAGUUUUGUGGGAAACUCAAUAAUUUUAAUUCCAUAAAAUCGUUUGGGGAUCAAUUUUAGUGUCUUUAAUAGAGAAGAUCUCUAUAGUAGCAACAUUUUUAAAAUAAGACAGUUUAGUAUCAUGGAAUGUGCUAAUUAAGGCCCUUGGGGCUAAAAAGCUUGCACAACUUAUCAAGCAGGUGGAUGCCCACUGACAGCAUUAUGGUUGUUAUGCCUUCUGGGUGGUGCAUUGGCACACUGCAUUGGUAAACAACCCUACUGAAAUUAAGGAAUGUCCUGAACUGCUCCUGCAUCAUCUUUGGUCACACAGACACAUAUGCUGCUUUAUCAAAUAUUUUAAGUAGAACCAGGUGUGGUUGGAAUAGCUGCACAGGUUUAGCAAGGUGCAUAGACACCACUUGUUGGCCUGCUUAUGUCAAGAGUUGCUAGUAUUUAGGAAUAUAUGAAAAGAAGUUUUGGUAAACAAAGCUGACAGACUGUCAGUAGAAAAUAAAAAACCUGGAGUUUUUGGAGGCUGUCACUUUACACAAGAAAACAUCCCUGAGAGAGUACCCAGUGCUCCUGGAGCAGGGGAGGUAGGUUGUUUUUUCAUUUCUGGAAAAAAGAAAAUCUAUUUUUUUCUGUUUGAUUGCACUGCUUUUAUUAACGGUGGUUCAUGUGUUUACUGUAGUGUAAUCUGUUUGGUGGGUGAGCAGAGACUUCAAGCUAUGUUUCAUCAAAGCAAGUUCUGCUGAUGCAAGAGAAGACCUUCAGCUUGAGUGUCAAUACAUGGAAAAGGAAAGAGAAGAAGGAAAGAAUUGUUAGAAAAAGAAAAUUUAUCAACACAAGCAUAUAGUUGAACAAUGGAAAAGAUAUGAUUGCUUUAUUUUUUUGUAUAUUUUAUUUAAAAGCAGACUCCUUUUUGUAAAAAUGAGGUAGGGGGUGUGAGAGAGAGAGAGAGAAGGAGAGAGAAAUUGAGAGGGGUGUGGAGUUAGUUUUCUUAUGAGGUUUUUUUUUUAAUUAUGUUUGAUCUAAGUAAGUCUGCUGAUAUCAUAGAUAAAUCUCCAGAUUCAGCAGCGUUGGAGCUUCCAAAGGCCAGGAGGCUCAUUCCAAAAUCUUUAAUACCAACACCCCAAAACAACAUGGACAUUUGGCCUGAGGGCCUUGUUACACCUUACACUGUGAGCCAAACAAGUGUUGAUUGACUUGCUGCUAGCUUGAAGUGUGGAGAAGUCACACCUUCAACCUGAGUGGCCCAUCUAUGAGGAGUGGCCACACCUUAAUGGAACAGGAGCUGGGUUGCAUGGAUCAGAGAUAAUCCUGCUCUGGUGUGGUGUAACUUUGAGCCACAUAAUAAGUGCUUUAAGCCACUUUAAUGUGUUAAUGUGCAGACAGUCCAGGGGUUAAGAGCUCCAGGAGCUGCUCAGAAUAGGAAGUGUAACAAUGUCUUGAGAAUCAGAAACACUUAACACUUCCUCUGAUGACAGAAUUAAAAAAAAAGGAAAACCCUGGCCAAAAAAGUCUAUGUAAACACCACUUUGGUUCUCCAGAAACCCAUAAUAAAGUUGAGAGAAGGAAUAAAGAAAAUCACAGUUCCAAAGCAAAUGCUUUAGGAACUGUGAAUAAAAAAAAAUCCAUGGACUGCAAAUUCCCAUGGUUUAGUAAGGUCUUCUCAUGAACUAUAUGAAAAUAUUGGCAAAAUAUUUUCUCUCUCAAGAGAUGGCUACUCAUUUGUUAAAGCUUCUCGAAGAUAUAAAGAAUAUUGACAUGUAUUACUUUGUAUAUGUGUAUUUCAGCGCAUAUGCCUGUAGGGUAAAGUUUUUAUAGUGCCAAGUUAAGCAGUUAACUGGCAAAGUAUAAUGGGAAUUUGGAUCAUGUCAGUAGCCUAAUCUUUGUAUUUUAAGCACUGUUAAGGAAAGGUCCUUUUCCUGUAUGCUGAACCAAAUGAACUCUGUGUAUCUUUCACUUCUAUUUUUUCUUUUAAGUUUGCCAGUUAGCUACCAGUAAGAAUAAUUUGUAUGCUUUCUGUUAUGUUAUUUUUAAUACACUUUUCUAUCAAUGUAAACAUGUAAAUGAACUAAUAAUAUAGGAUUUUAAUCUGAAAACAAAUUUAGCUAUAAAAAGGAUUGACUGAAAA